rnacentral:misc_RNA from 1 species
AUCUCCUGCUGCAUUGACCUGCUCUGAUGUUGCAUAAGCCCCAUAAUGUACCUCCUUACGUGAUAGAGCCUUCAGAGCAGCAAAGAAAGCUUGCACCUUCUCCACAACAGACGUGAGCUUGAAAGUCAGGUACAACCCUGUCAUUAGUGAUGAAAAGAGGCUCCCGUAUUCUUUAUUCAAAAAGAAUCGGUACCAGACUGGUGUAGGCAACAAGGC